UCAGAACAUGAUCUAACUGAUUGAUUCAACAAUAAUGAUGAUAUUGUAUGUAUGUCAACAAUUGAGUAUUUUAACGAGAUCGAAUUAUCAAACGAUGAAGUUGUGCUAUUUUCCGACAUCAGCGAAGAGAUAUAUUCAUGAUUUCGCGGAAAAAUUUCGUGGUUGUCCAGAUUGGAAUAUUAAAAUCAAGCUCUUGUAUCUUGAUCUAACGCUCUUGAAUCUUGCUCUUGAUUUUGAUCGUGGUUUGACCAAGUUAGAAUAUUAAAAUCAAGCUCUUGUAUCUUCACUUUCGGUAGAGUAACAACAGAAUAAGCAAUGUCUUUUGUUUGAAAAAUUUACUCAUUUCGCAGUAUUAUGUGGUUAUCAUCCUGCCACUUAGUCAUCUGGUGGGCGAUUUCAGUAAGUUUUAUUCAAAUCUUCAGUUAAUCGUUAAUUUCUUACAAAAUGAUUUUGAAUAAAACAGAUUUUAGGCCAUUGGUCCCAACGUGGGGCACACGCCCCACAGAAUGGACAAUUUGAUUUUUAAUGGGGGCAAUUCGAGAAUGAAUUAUUAACAGUGAAUUUUUUGCAUUUCUUAUGGUUAUAAGGACUACAUAUACAAUAUAUAAAUAUAAUACAUAAUGUGAC
rnacentral:lncRNA from 1 species